AAUACUUGUUGCUUUGAGUUUUUAUUUGUAACGUUUGAUCAUUCGUCUUAUUCAAAAAAUUAUGGAAUUAUUAUUUAUUUUUUUAACUUGUUUAUUAUCAAAAGUAUUUAAGUAUGACUUAUCUUUUUUUAUAUUUACACUAAUUUUUCAAAUAAGACGAAUGGUCAAAAAUUGCAAGCAGAAAGUCAAAGCGACAUCUAUU
rnacentral:pre_miRNA from 1 species